AUUGAACGCUGGCGGCAGGCCUAACACAUGCAAGUCGAGCGGAUGAAGGGAGCUUGCUCCUGGAUUCAGCGGCGGACGGGUGAGUAAUGCCUAGGAAUCUGCCUGGUAGUGGGGGAUAACGUCCGGAAACGGGCGCUAAUACCGCAUACGUCCUGAGGGAGAAAGUGGGGGAUCUUCGGACCUCACGCUAUCAGAUGAGCCUAGGUCGGAUUAGCUAGUUGGUGGGGUAAAGGCCUACCAAGGCGACGAUCCGUAACUGGUCUGAGAGGAUGAUCAGUCACACUGGAACUGAGACACGGUCCAGACUUCUACGGGAGGCAGCAGUGGGGAAUAUUGGACAAAGGGCGAAAGCCUGAUCCAGCCAUGCCGCGUGUGUGAAGAAGGUCUUCGGAUUGUAAAGCACUUUAAGUUGGGAGGAAGGGCAGUAAGUUAAUACCUUGCUGUUUUGACGUUACCAACAGAAUAAGCACCGGCUAACUUCGUG
rnacentral:rRNA from 1 species